rnacentral:rRNA from 1 species
GACGAACGCUGGCGGCGUGCUUAACACAUGCAAGUCGAACGGAAAGGCCCUGCUUUUGUGGGGUGCUCGAGUGGCGAACGGGUGAGUAACACGUGAGUAACCUGCCCUUGACUUUGGGAUAACUUCAGGAAACUGGGGCUAAUACCGGAUAGGAGCUCCUGCUGCAUGGUGGGGGUGGGAAAGUUUCGGCGGUGGGGGAUGGACUCGCGGCUUAUCAGCUUGUUGGUGGGGUAGUGGCUUACCAAGGUUUUGACGGGUAGCCGGCCUGAGAGGGUGACCGGCCACAAUGGGACUGAGAUACGGCCCAGACGCCUACGGGAGGCAGCAGUGGGGAAUAUUGCACAAUGGGCGGAAGCCUGAUGCAGCAACGCCGCGUGCGGGAUGACGGCCUUCGGGUUGUAAACCGCUUUCGCCUGUGACGAAGCGUGAGUGACGGUAAUGGGUAAAGAAGCACCGGCUAACUACGUG